AGGUCAAUUUGAAGAUUGACAUCUUCAUCAUAUUGAUCUUCUGGUCCAUGAAGACUGGCCUAUGUGUGACUUUGCCUACGGUUUCUUGACUCUGGCUGGCUGGCAUUUUAUACUCUCCAGUCUGUAGCUGCUGAAGUACCUGUAUUAAAUGUAAUCUUAGGUGUUGGCUUGAGACUACGUCCGUUCAGCCUUUAUUCCUGUUGAAUAGUUUGGUGCAUUGAUCCUAUCGGACGGCCAGUCCAUCUUUGGCUGCACAGGAGGGGAGAACAGAGUCCCAUACUGUGGUACAUUCCGCACUGCUGAGAUGCUCUGAUUAUUCCAUGCACAUUAUUGGACAUUUGAGUGACGUUGAGUCAUUUCAACCUAAUGAACUGAUUGGAAGCUGACUCGCCCCGAGACCUGCUCUCUUCCCAUGCGCCUGUUGGGUAACCACCAGAGAAGACUGCUCAGGCAUGAAUGUUCCAACAGAUGUCUUCUUUGCAUCUUUCCAGCUGUUCCGGGAGUCUUGGAUAGACCCCCCUACCAGCCAUUUGGUUCCCAAAGCCUCAUUUCGUUGGAACAUUCCAUUCCCUGUAGCAAUCGUCCUUUGUUUGUUGCGGCAUAACAAAUUACUUCACGAAUUUGAGGUUUAAAAACAACUAUUUAUUAUUUCUCAUGACUCUGCGGGUUGACUUGGCCUGUUUCCUGCUUUACAUUCGGCAUCUGUCGGGCAGAAAGAGUUGAGUCUCCAACACUGGCUCGCAUACAUGCCCCAUGCCUGGGUUGGGGGUGGCAGAAGAGGUGGCCUCCGCUGGGCUGCUGGCACACUUGGCCGUUCUCCCUGCUGCAUGCAGACCUAGGCCACCUCCUUCCCACAGCUCCUCCCUUCAUGGUGGCUCCAGUGUAAAUGGUGCUUUCGUUCCCAUGGCCCGCUGCUUCCCUGUGAGGCUUUCUUCGGUCCAUUGUCUCUUGGCCACCAAUAAAAGAAGCAACAGGCAAAGAAUGGGGCCUCAGAGACCUUUCCCGUCUCUGCUUUAGAUGUCCUCUAUGGUGUUUUGAAAACAGCUUGCAUCUUUCUCAGUGACUGAUAUUGGAGACAUUUUUGGUAGUCUUACCACUUCCUGAAGUGGGUGAGCAAAGGUGACAGGAGAGGGAAUGGGGAUGUAUGUGGGUGAAUUUGUUCAGAACUCUAAGAAAAGUGUUGAGGGCUUGGUUAUGAUUAGCAACUGCAUGAUACUUUUGGUAUUAUUGCUCUCCUUUUAGAUCUAAAAAUGUCAUCUGCUUACACAUCUUACUUUAAAAUUGAUAAAUCCCUUUAUCUUUAGCUUCCUAACAUGCCCUAAAGAUUGAAGAAAUAUUUUCAUUUUUAUUCAAUAAAUAAUAUUUCCCAAA
rnacentral:lncRNA from 1 species